AUGAGGUUGCACUCCCCCAGCCCCUAUUGCCCUCAGCUGAGCCUCCCUCGUCUCUGGGGCUGCUGUGUGUCUUGGGACAGGAUGAGGAGGAUUUUCAUGGCCACUGUUGCGUUCAUGUGCAGGUUGAGGUUACUCAGGGGUCUCCGCAUGCCUGCCCGCCCAGGUGUCUCCCCAGAGCUUCUCCCCAGCUCCCAGCCCUGCCCCUGCCCCACAGCGGAAGGGCUGAGGCGGGAAAAAGAAAAUGGCCUCCUGAGAGAAACAUGGAGCCCGGUGCUGCUGCGCAGGUUACCAGCUAUGCACGGCACCUCUGAAGUAAAUAAGGCCAAAAAGAGAAGAAGAAAUAGGAUGAAAGCCCACCAAAAUAAAGUACAGGGGAAGCAUGACAUGGCCAUCCCUGAAGAGGCAAGAGAAGUGCUCACACUGGCCUGGCAGAUGGUACAGGGCAGCAGCACACAGGAGGAGCAGCUGCAGCACUUGGAGGAUCACAGCGUCAGGGGAAGAAGCAGCUGAGCAAAAGGGCUCCUGAUAAUGGCUGGCCUUUUCACCUGCCGAUCUGCUCAAGAACACAUUAGAAAGUCAAGUGCCAAAUGAAAGCGGGCAGCACAUAUUCAUGAAUGCAAGUGGCAGCUUAUGUCCCAGUUUCCAGUGAGCAGUUUCAUUUGAUGUGACAGAAAGCAUGAAAAUUGGGAUAUUGGCAUAAACAAAAAAGUUUUUUUGUGAAUAUAAUGUAAUAAAGGAAAGCAUCAGUGUCUACA
rnacentral:lncRNA from 1 species